AGAGUUUGAUCAUGGCUCAGAUUGAACGCUGGCGGCACGCCUAACACAUGCAAGUCGAGCGGCAGCACGGUCCUACCUUUUAGUGCCUUUUGGGAAGGGUAUUAGGAGGUGGGAUGGGUGGCGAGCGGCGGACGGGUGAGUAGAGCAUAGGAAUCUGCCUUAAAGAUUGGGAUAACCCGAGGAAACUCGGGCUAAUACUG
rnacentral:rRNA from 1 species